rnacentral:lncRNA from 1 species
GCUCCAAUUCUUUGAUCCGAGCCCGCAAAAAUGCAUUAUCAUUCAAAUUUCCAUCCAUGGCUGGAAGAAAAAAAGAUAGGAAAAUUAGACAUAAACGAAAACAAGAUUAAUUAGAGAAAAGAUUAAAUGAAGCGUCAAAGAAAUUAAGCUUAAAAGGCUCAAAUUGGAACCCUAGAAAGCCAAGAACUGAUUGUUGAUUCGCAGGCACUUUGGCGGAAACGGGACAUAUAUAAACUUAUGAUUGCUUCACCAUUAAAAUAAGGGGCAAAUUUGUUGUCUUCCUAUUCUUUUCUAUUUUUCGCUGUUUUUCUAUUUUUCCUUUAUUUAUUAUUCUUCAAAUUUAGAAGUAUUAUCCGAGCGUUUAAAAUUUUAUUUGAUAAUAAUGAACAUGAUAAAUAUGAGAACAACAAAAGUUGUGCUGGCAAUAUUUGGAAACAAUUUGUC